rnacentral:tRNA from 1 species
GGUCCUGUGGCCCAAUGGAUAAGGCGCCUGACUACGAAUCAGGAUAUUCCAGGUUCGAUUCCUGGCAGGAUCG